rnacentral:lncRNA from 1 species
GCAUCCCACCACACCUCGGAGGAUCUGGUGCCUGGAGCACUGUGUUUUCCCUGCUGGACCCGUCCUGAGCAUUAUUAUUUGGGCCAUGCUUCCCGGGUUUUAAAUUAUUCUGUCUCAACUAGCUGAUGGCAUUUGUUACAUGUCAUGCAAUGUUCCUGGUAAUUAAUUGGUAUUUAAUUAAUUAAGGGAUAAUGGCAUUCAAUUAAGGGAUGCCUGUGGAACACUGUCACUGGGUAAUUAAUGGCUUCCUGCUGCUCAAGCAAAGCUGAGGCAUUUGUGGAAAAUAAAUAGAGGAGAAGCUGAGAUGUUUGUUCCCUUGGCAGGAGGCUGGUCAUGUCCCAGAGCUCUCGGAUUCUCCAGGACCCCAUUUCCAGACCUCUGUCCAGGGCGAGCCAGGCUUUUCCCCCCAGCACACUUGAGAUUGCUGCCACUGACAUCCAGGAGCAUCUUUUCUGCUCCACUUGGGUAACAGGACCAGGAUGCAAGGAAGCUCUCUGGGAUGGAGGAAGGCCAAGGGAAUUUCCACUGCAAAAUUAAAGCCUAUGAGCUGGUAUGGUUAACCAUUUCUUUGUCAUUCUGUCCCGUGUGUGUUUCUGAGAGCAUGUGUGUGUUCAUGCCAGCAUGUGUGAGAUGCACCUGUAGUCACUGAUCUCUCAGCAUUUUUGGGUUGUUUUGGAUGAACCUUUUUUUUUUUUUUUUUUUUUUUUCCUCCAGCGGAGGUGUAGAGGAUGGACGUGAUGGAGCCUACACACUUUCCUGAGACCUCUGGGAUGGAAGGUAAUGUGGAAAUGGAAACUCUAAUUACAGAUCCAGCAAGCUCCACUUUCUAAUUAAUUGCAGAUUAAAGUAAAAAUAGAACUGGUUAUGUAAAAUAAACCUAAAAGCCCCAGUCUACCUGGUUACACAAUACCCAGAACAAUGAUCUCUGCUGAGGCUUAGUUCAGGGUGAAAAUGCUCCAGGUGUGGUUUUUGAAGACACGCAGAGCAAAAUGGGGCCACUUCUGCUGGGAACCACUGUUCACAUCCUAAUGUGGGGCUGGUGCCCAUGCCCUGCUCUGUGCCUGGGAAGGGGCUCCCCAGUCCCCCCACUGCACCCCCUGCCGUAGGCAGAAGGCUCAUCCAUCAGCUCAUGGACACCACUCAUCAUCCUGGAGGUCCCAAAAUGCUUUAAAGCCCACCUAGUGCAGUUCCCAGGGCAAAUCCCACCUCUGGAGUGAGGACACAACAUGAAUCUCCCUGUGGAUCCGACAGUGCUGGCUGUUCUUCAGCAUUGUUUCCCAGGCAGGGUUGCUGUUGUGCCACAACCUCCCCC